UACAGAGAGUGCGAACGUUGUUCGGAAUCACUGGGCUUAAAGAGCACGUAGGCGGCGCUGCAAGUGUCGGGUGAAAUCCCACGGCUCACCCGUGGAACUGCCCGGCAGACUGUGGUGCUAGAGUGUGGUAGGGGAGAGCGGAAUUCCCGGUGUAGCAGUGAAAUGCGUAGAGAUCGGGAGGAACAUCUGUGGCGAAGGCGGCCAUCUGGACCAGCACUGACACUGAGGCACGAAAGCGUGGGGAGCAAACAGG
rnacentral:rRNA from 1 species